AUUAGUGGAUGAGAAAAACUUCCUAUCAUCUUCUCUUAUCCCCGAAAUCAUAAGAAAGAAAAAAAAAAAAAGAGAAAUUUUCUCUUCUUCAUUUUUCCUUGCCGUCCAACAAAAUUAACUAAGCUAAAGAUGACGUUGGGCCAUCCGAAGAGAAAGGAAAGGCGAGAGUCGUAAACGAAUGACGAUUAGGGUUUGUACUUUCAUUAUUUGAAUUCAAUUUAUAUAUGUCUUGUUACAAACUAGCUUAUUUAAGGUAAGAAUCCUAUUUAUCUCAUGGUUUAGUUUGUAUAUGAUGAUAUGGAAUGUUUUAAAUUGAAUUGAGACAAGCAUGGUAUAAAUGAGCAUUAUAGAAA